rnacentral:rRNA from 1 species
AACGAACGCUGGCGGCAUGCCUAACACAUGCAAGUCGAACGAGACCUUCGGGUCUAGUGGCGCACGGGUGCGUAACGCGUGGGAACCUGCCCUUAGGUUCGGAAUAACUCCCCGAAAGGGGUGCUAAUACCGGAUAAUGUCCUCGGACCAAAGAUUGAUCGCCUUUGGAUGGGCCCGCGUUGGAUUAGCUAGUUGGUAGGGUAAAAGCCUACCAAGGCGACGAUCCAUAGCUGGUCUGAGAGGAUGAUCAGCCACACUGGGACUGAGACACGGCCCAGACUCCUACGGGAGGCAGCAGUGGGGAAUAUUGGACAAUGGGCGAAAGGCUGAUCCAGCAAUGCCGCGUGAGUGAUGAAGGCCUUAGGGUUGUAAAGCUCUUUUACCCGGGAUGAUAAUGACAGUACCGGGAGAAUAAGCUCCGGCUAACUCCGUG